rnacentral:lncRNA from 1 species
UUCUGAGUUAAAUAGUAUCCAAAAAGUUCACCAAAACAAAAAACUGGAUUUUUUCACAUUUGUUCCGUUUCCAUGGUAACGGCAGCCAUCUUGAAAGUGCCACCCCCAAAAAGCAAAUCUUCAUUUGGUGGUUAACAAAAUGGGAUAGUUCCAUCUUCUUGUGGCCAUUCAUAUGAGAGUUCCAGACUGGACAAAAAUGUGUGGAAGAAAAAUAAUAAAAAAAACAAAAAGAAACGUAGAAUAACAAUAUGUCACCCAAACUCCGUUUAGGGUGCCAUAAUAACUAGAUUUGUAAUUGCUAGCAAUAACGGAUGGCACCCUUCCCCCAUUGCCAGGUGAGCGGCAGCCAUUUUGAAAAUUCCAAAGUCAAAGAGCACUUUUACAAAUGUUUAUUAACAUUGUUGAAAAAUUUCAUGUCGUUUGGAGCAUUUUGAAAUUUUUGAAAAUUUUUGCUGUUUCCAUGGUAACAGUUACCAUUUCCAAAAUUCCAAAGACAGGUGCCACAUUGGUACAUGCCAUGUUACAUAUCUAUUAAGUUUCAUUGGGAUUGAUGCUAUAUUCUUCAAGAAAAUGUAAGUUUUAUGUGUUUUCCCAUAGGGUCAAUGUUAAACUUUCGCCCUGUUUCCAUGACAAUGGCGGCCAUUUUGGAACCUCUUGAUAUUGCAUGCACAUCUAGGCAUAUCAGGUGACACUUCCACAAAGUUUCAUCCACUUGGGUCUUAUAAUGAAGAAUUUAGAAUUUUGAAAAUUUUUUCACAUUUUUGCAGUUUCCAUGGAAACGGCAGCCAUCUUGAACCAUUCCAUGGUGCCUGCAACUCUUCACCUAAGGGUCCUCAAUAUAAUAGAGUUCCAUCAACUUUGGUCCUUUGGAUUUCGAGAAAUCUCCUGGACAAAAUGUGUGGAAGAAAAAUAAAAAUAAACUAGAAUUGCCAUUGCAAGCAAUAGCGGAUGUCACCCUUCCCCCCAUUGCCACUAAGCGGCAGCCAUUUCAAAAUGUUUAACAGUGAAUGCACAUAUAUGCAUGGCAAUACAUCUUUCUGUAAAUUUUCAGUACAUUGAGAGCAUUUCUAAAAAAAUUUCACACAAUUCUGCUGUUUCCAUGGCAACGGCAGCCAUUUUGAAAAUUUCAAAGUCAAAAGUCUCAUCUGUACUUGCCAGUUAACAAUAAUAUCAAGUUUCAUUAAGUUCAAA